rnacentral:rRNA from 1 species
UACGAAGGGGGCUAGCGUUGUUCGGAAUUACUGGGCGUAAAGCGCACGUAGGCGGAUUUGUAAGUAGGGGGUGAAAUCCCCAGGCUCAACCUGGGAACUGCCUUCUAAACUGCAAGUCUGGAGAUCAGGAGAGGCGAGUGGAAUGCCGAGUGUAGAGGUGAAAUUCGUAGAUAUUCGGUGGAACACCAGUGGCGAAGGCGACUCGCUGGACUGAUACUGACGCUGAGGUGCGAAAGCGCGGGGAGCAAACAGG